UGCGUAGGCGGUUUGGUAAGUCAGAUGUGAAAUUCCUGGGCUCAACCGAGGAACUGCAUUUGAUACUGCCAGACUAGAGUACUGGAGAGGAGACUGGAAUUUACGGUGUAGCAGUGAAAUGCGUAGAUAUCGUAAGGAAGGCCAGUGGCGAAGGCGAGUCUCUGGACAGUAACUGACGCUGAGGCACGAAGGCUAGGGGAGCAAAC
rnacentral:rRNA from 1 species